AUCGCUAUCUUUAUUAUCUUUUGAAAAUAGUAAAGUAAGUUAUAUCGUUACGUUAGUUUACAAAUGGGUAGCUUAAAGGACAUGUAACCUGCAGAAGAUAAAUAAAUACCUGUGUGUGUAUUUUUGUAUUGCUUUAUCACAGAUGCUCAAGUUAGAUGCUCAUCUGAUGUUGUUGUGUUGCUGGUAAAUUAUGUGUUAAUGUCUGUCUUUUAGAGAUUUUUCCACAUUUUCCUGAUAUGAAUCCCAUGGAUUAGAGUCAUCAAGGAUCCAGCUUAUUAUUGAAACAUUGGACAGUACAGAAAGCACACAAGUGGGAGAGAGUGGAGGGGACGGCGUCAGAAAGGACCUAGGGCUGGGACUCUUUCAAGGAUCACCUGAAGCACAACCACACUAUAUGCACGAGGCUGUUGGUUCUAACAUUUUAGGUUCCCCUUCGGUAGAAAUCACAUUCCGCGUUCCCUGCGGUAAA